GCCAGACACAAUGGCAUGUGCCUGUAGUACUAGCUACUCAGGCGGCUGAGGUGGGAGGAUCACUUGAGCCUAGGAGUUCUUGGCUAUAGUGCACUAUGCCAGUCAGGUGUCCACACUAAGUUCGGCAUCAAUAUGGUGACCUCCUGGGAGCCACCAGGUUGCCUAAGGAGGGGUGAACCGGCCCAGGUCGGAAACGGAGCAGGACAAAACUUCCAUGCUGAUCAGUACUGGGAUCACAUCUGUGAAUAGCCACUGCACUUCAGCCUGGACAACAUAGCUAGACCCUUUCUCU
rnacentral:SRP_RNA from 1 species